GUACUCGCUUCGGCGGUACAUAUAUGUACUACAUUUGUAACGAUACAGAGAAGAUUAGCAUGGCCCCUGCGCAAGGAUGACACGCAAAAUCGUGAAGCGUUUAAUAUUUAA